rnacentral:rRNA from 1 species
CCUACGGGUGGCAGCAGUGGGGAAUAUUGGGCAAUGGGCGAAAGCCUGACCCAGCAACGCCGCGUGAAGGAAGAAGGCUUUCGGGUUGUAAACUUCUUUUGACAGGGAAGAGCAGAAGACGGUACCUGUCGAAUAAGCCACGGCUAACUACGUGCCAGCAGCCGCGGUAAUACGUAGGUGGCAAGCGUUGUCCGGAUUUACUGGGGGUAAAGGGCGUGUAGCCGGGCUGACAAGUCAGAUGGGAAAUCCGGGGGCUCAACCCCCGAACUGCAUUUGAAACUGUUGGUCUUGAGUAUCGGAGAGGCAUGCGGAAUUCCUAGUGUAGCGGGGAAAUGCGUAGAUAUUAGGAGGAACACCAGUGGCGAAGGCGGCCGGCGGGACGAAAACUGACGGUGAGGCGCGAAAGCGUGGGGAGCAAACAGGAUUAGAUACCCCAGUAGUC